rnacentral:rRNA from 1 species
GGUCAUCCAUAUCACCUUGGGCAUAUCGAUCUCAUCUGAAUCUGGAAGCUGAACAGGACUGGUGCUUGUUGGUUCUUGGAUGGGAAAGUUUGGAACAACUAGGAGCUGGAAUUU